AGCUGCUUUCAACUACCUGAAAGGGGGUUCCAAAGAGGAUGGAUCUAGACUAGGGGUCGGCAACCUCUGGCAUGCAUGUCGAAGGCAGCACACGAGCUGAUUGUCAGUGGCACUCACACUGCCCAGGUCCUGGCCACCGGUCCAGGGGGCUCUGCAUUUCAAUUUAAUUUUAAAUGAAGCUUCUUAAAUGUUUUAAAAACCUUAUUUACUUUACAUACAACAAUAGU